rnacentral:rRNA from 1 species
GACGAACGCUGGCGGCGUGCCUAAUACAUGCAAGUCGAACGCACAGUUUAUACCGUAGCUUGCUACACCAUAGACUGUGAGUUGCGAACGGGUGAGUAACGCGUAGGUAACCUGCCUGGUAGCGGGGGAUAACUAUUGGAAACGAUAGCUAAUACCGCAUAAUAUUGAUUAUUGCAUGAUAAUUAAUUGAAAGUUGCAAUUGCACCACUACCAGAUGGACCUGCGUUGUAUUAGCUAGUAGGUGAGGUAACGGCUCACCUAGGCGACGAUACAUAGCCGACCGGAGAGGGUGAGCGGCCACACUGGGACUGAGACACGGCCCAGACGCCUACGGGAGGCAGCAGUAGGGAAUCUUCGGCAAUGGACGAAAGUCUGACCGAGCAACGCCGCGUGAGUGAAGAAGGUUUUCGGAUCGUAAAGCUCUGUUGUAAGAGAAGAACGGGUGUGAGAGUGGAAAGUUCACACUGUGACGGUAUCUUACCAGAAAGGGACGGCUAACUACGUG